GAGGGUAUAGGUCAAAUGGUAGAGUGCAUGCUUAGCAUGCAUGAGGUCCUUGGUUCAAUCCCUAGCACCUCCU
rnacentral:tRNA from 1 species